CCUACGGGGGACAGCAGUGGGGAAUAUUGCACAAUGGGGGAAACCCUGAUGCAGCGACGCCGCGUGAGUGAAGACGUAAUUCGUUAUGUAAAGCUCUAUCAGCAGGGAAGAAAAUGACGGUACCUGAGUGAGAAGCCCCGGCUAACUACGUGCCAGCAGCCGCGGUAAUAUGUAGGGGGCAGGCGUUAUCCGGAUUUACUGGGUGUAAAGGGAGCGUAGACGGCAGUGUAAGUCUGGAGUGAAAGGCGGGGGCUCAACCCCCGGACUGCUCUGGAAACUGUACGGCUGGAGUGCAGGAGAGGUAAGUGGAAUUCCUAGUGUAGCGGUGAAAUGCGUAGAUAUUAGGAGGAACACCAGUGGCGAAGGCGGCUUACUGGACUGUAACUGACGUUGAGGCUCGAAAGCGUGGGGAGCAAACAGGAUUAGAUACCCGGGUAGUC
rnacentral:rRNA from 1 species